GACGAACGCUGGCGGCGUGCUUAACACAUGCAAGUCGAGCGGUAAGGCCCUUUCGGGGGUACACGAGCGGCGAACGGGUGAGUAACACGUGGGUGACCUGCCCUUAGCUCUGGGAUAAGCCUGGGAAACUGGGUCUAAUACCGGAUAUGACUCCAUGACGCAUGUUGUGGGGUGGAAAGCCUUGUGCGGCUAGGGAUGGGCCCGCGGCCUAUCAGCUUGUUGGUGGGGUGANGGCCUACCAAGGCGACGACGGGUAGCCGGCCUGAGAGGGCGACCGGCCACACUGGGACUGAGACACGGCCCAGACUCCUACGGGAGGCAGCAGUGGGGAAUCUUGCGCAAGUGGGCGAAAGCCUGACGCAGCGACGCCGCGUGGGGAUGACGGCCU
rnacentral:rRNA from 1 species